ensembl:lncRNA
CUGAGUCACAAAUGAAAUAUUGGAUCUCUGGGCCAUAUUGACUCACAGGGCUCCUGUGACUCCAUCACACUGAAUCCACAGACCGAAGAAGAGAAAGCAGCCCACAGCCCAGAAUGUCUGCCACGUGGUCCUAUUUAAAAGAAAGGAAAGAGCAUUAUGCCUUAAAAAAUGCUGUUCUGCCAAUAAUCACUACAGGAAACUUUGCUUCUGAUGACUGCAGAGACCAUGGACUGCUCAGUCUCUCACUGUUACACAAACCCUCACCUUGCUUAGAAACUGGAGCAACUCCUCAAAAAAAAAAAAAGAAAAAAAAAAAGGAAGAAGCAAGCUAUCAGCAGCCGAGCUCCUCCUUUUUAAGAACCUCUGCUGACCUUGAGGCACAAGCUCACAGGUGGAC